rnacentral:tRNA from 1 species
GUGUAACGCAAUGGAUAGCGUGUUGGACUUCUAAUCCAAAGGUCGUGGGUUUGAGUACCACCUGAAAUG